CGCUCGCCCUCUGCUAGAAAUAGGAAAAUGCUAUAAUAACACAACACAAGAAAAAAAAAACACAGAGGCAACUUUGAUCACGCAUGCUCCCUUGGCGUCCAGCUCUUUUUUCCCCCACCACAUCAUUUCUCCUAAGUUGGAAAGUCAAGGAAAAGCCCGAGCGAAGUGUUGGCCACAGUUAAACCAAUCAUUCGGGGAAAGCCAUCUCAUAUUUAAAAUGCCUGUGGUAUCAAGGUGAAGGAUUAAAACAAGUGUCUGGACAGAAUUCAGGUCUAUUACUGAAAUUCAGCCACCGAGCAAUGGCAGCGUCGCUUUUCGCCGGGUGAUUAUCGACAGGCCACAAAGAAGAUGAUGCCAAGCAUACCUCAAAUUCCACCAAGGCUUGGUUGCAGAAGAAGUCCUGGAAGAUUCUACAGGGCCAUCACAGUCACCUGACUUAAACCCCAUAGAAAAUCUCUGGUGGGAUUUCAAGAAGGCAGUCGCAGCACAAAAACCCAAGAAUAUUACUGAACUGGAGGCCAUUGUUCAUGAGGAAUGGGCUAAGAUUCUUCAGGAAUGCCCCUAGAAGCUGGUGUCUGGCUAUUCAUCUCGUUACAGCAGGUCAUAACAGUAAAAGGGUGCUCUACUAAGUACUAAAGACGCUUGCCAUGAAGGGGUUGAAUAAUGUUGAAACUGGAGAAGUCAUUUGUCAUUUGAAGUCAAGAAACCAUUGAAGAAUUAAUUGUGUUAAACCAUUCCAAUUGCUUUUGUUUGAUUUGUUCGUUGCAAACAGCUGAAAGUCUGUACAUUUUGACAAUAAACCUG
ensembl:lncRNA